AGUGAACGCUGGCGGUAGGCCUAACACAUGCAAGUCGAACGGCAGCACAGUAAGAGCUUGCUCUUACGGGUGGCGAGUGGCGGACGGGUGAGGAAUACAUCGGAAUCUACUUUUUCGUGGGGGAUAACGUAGGGAAACUUACGCUAAUACCGCAUACGACCUACGGGUGAAAGCAGGGGAUCUUCGGACCUUGCGUGAUUGAAUGAGCCGAUGUCGGAUUAGCUAGUUGGCGGGGUAAAGGCCCACCAAGGCGACGAUCCGUAGCUGGUCUGAGAGGAUGAUCAGCCACACUGGAACUGAGACACGGUCCAGACUCCUACGGGAGGCAGCAGUGGGGAAUAUUGGACAAUGGGCGCAAGCCUGAUCCAGCCAUACCGCGUGGGUGAUGAAGGCCUUCGGGUUGUAAAGCCCUUUUGUUGGGAAAGAAAAGCAGCAGGUUAAUACCCCGCUGUUCUGACGGUACCCAAAGAAUAAGCACCGGCUAACUUCGUG
rnacentral:rRNA from 1 species